rnacentral:rRNA from 1 species
AGGGCACCACCAGGAGUGGAGCCUGCGGCUUAAUUUGACUCAACACGGGAAAUCUCACCAGGCCCGGACACCGGAAGGAUUGACAGAUUGAGAGCUCUUUCUUGAUUCGGUGGGUGGUGGUGCAUGGCCGUUCUUAGUUGGUGGAGCGAUUUGUCUGGUUAAUUCCGAUAACGAACGAGACUCUGGCCUACUAACUAGACGUUGGAUCAUUUGUGGUCCUUCGCUGCUUCUUAGAGGGACGGGCGGCGUUCAGCCGCACGAGAAUGAGCAAUAACAGGUCUGUGAUGCCCUUAGAUGUUCUGGGCUGCACGCGCGCUACACUGAAGGAAUCAGCGUGUGUACCCUGUCCGAAAGGACUGGGAAACCCGUUGAACCUCCUUCGUGAUGGGGAUUGGGGAUUGAAAUUAUUCCCCAUGAACGAGGAAUUCCCAGUAGGCGCGAGUCAUAAGCUUGCGUCGAUUACGUCCCUGCCCUUUGUACACACCGCCCGUCGCUACUACCGAUCGAGUGAUUUAGUGA